GAUAUGUUUUCUAGGAUAAAAGCCAACAUGGAUUCUGAACUCUGCUCCAGCUUUCCCCCCCAUGUUUGAAGACCCUUCGAUGUGGUGAUGGGAUUUUCAGCACACCGUCAAAACUUUUCCUAGUUUUCAAUUCAUACUCCACUCCUCUGAAGCGAAUCAUAGUGUCAUUCCCAGUGCAUGCAGCCAUUGUACUGAAUUCUGUAGAGUUUUUCCCUCAUCAUAUUUGUAUAUACCUUUAUUUAAAUAAAUUAUUUGUGCAUUCCAAAAUACAACAUACUAAAUGAAAACAAGCACUCCUGUCAUUGGUAUAGCAAACAAUGGUUUUAAACAAUUAAAACUGAAUUAUAACCUCCCUGCAGUCUAACGUAGUAUGGACAACAACACUGUCACCGUUAAUACAGUAAUUAGUAUGCAAAGUAAUAUAAAGGCAUCAUUUAAAGUGGCCUCAAACUCUGCUCAGCUGUUGGAUUUAUACAAAACUGUUUAAAAUAAUUUAUCAUGUACUACAUAAUUUAGGAAAAGACUGUUCCAAGAGGAGAUUGCUUAGAAUCACCAUACUAAAAACUUAGUAUGUACACUGACAAAUGCAUUAAAAUUAAAUUUCAAAAUACAAAGGAAUGAAGUGACGGCUUAAUUCUCCUAACUCCUCCGAACUGGUUUGAAGCCUGGGUGUAAGCCUGAGCUAGGAAUUUUAAAUGAAACAGGUAUAACAUGUUUGUUUUGGCAAUAUGCAAAGCAGCAGAAAACAGUAUCUAAAGUAACUCAUAAAACAGGACAAUUGUACAGCCACUUGUGCCAAAAAGGAGACAUCUAAUAUUGCUUAAAUUAAUGGGCAUGCUGCUUAAUCACAGGAGCGUGCUGGUAAAUUACAAGCCUUUGGGUACCUGCACUCUGAGCACUUCUCUCAUUUGGAAAUAUUCAUAGUUUGUUUUCACCACAAGAAUGUACCUGGAGUGGGACAAGGGGAACUGCCUUCAUUUUGUUUUUCUAUAUUUUUAAUGAAUUUCAUCACUAGCCUAGUAAGGAAGUUACUUAUAUGUAAGGACUUUGGAGGAAUGCCCCAAUGUUUUUGUUCAAAGUAACAUAAGAUAAUGGCAGCAUGGGUUACCCUUGUUCUUAAGUGGUUUUUAUUCAGAGAGGCUCAUCUUGCAGUAUGGUCAUAUGCAACAUGACACAGAUGCUGAUUCUUGGUUCCUGAUAUAGAAGCACAAUUUCUUUUCUUUAAACACCAGAACUGGAUAUUGUGUAAUGAGGCACAUUAAAUGUUCCAGGUUGGAGAAGAAUCAGCGUGAAGGUUAAUACAUUUCCAUCUCACUCCUGAUGUUUAAGUGUUUUCACAAGGCUGUUGCCCGCAGGAAAGAUGCAUCAGUACAAGUCAGUUCCAGAC
rnacentral:lncRNA from 1 species